UGGGGAAUAUUGCGCAAUGGGGGGAACCCUGACGCAGCCAUGCCGCGUGAAUGAAGAAGGCCUUAGGGUUGUAAAGUUCUUUCGGUAUUGAGGAAGGUUGAUGUGUUAAUAGCACAUCAAAUUGACGUUAAAUACAGAAGAAGCACCGGCUAACUCCGUGCCAGCAGCCGCGGUAAUACGGAGGGUGCGAGCGUUAAUCGGAAUAACUGGGCGUAAAGGGCACGCAGGCGGUUAUUUAAGUGAGGUGUGAAAGCCCCGGGCUUAACCUGGGAAUUGCAUUUCAGACUGGGUAACUAGAGUACUUUAGGGAGGGGUAGAAUUCCACGUGUAGCGGUGAAAUGCGUAGAGAUGUGGAGGAAUACCGAAGGCGAAGGCAGCCCCUUGGGAAUGUACUGACGCUCAUGUGCGAAAGCGUGGGGAGCAAACAGGAUUAGAUACCCUGGUAGUCCACGCUGUAAACGCUGUCGAUUUGGGGGUUGGGGUUUAACUCUGGCGCCCGUAGCUAACGUGAUAAAUCGACCGCCUGAGUACGGCCGCAAGGUU
rnacentral:rRNA from 1 species